CUGGCUGUGUCUCAAUUCAGGGUCUGCAUCCUACCUCGGCCGGAUUCGUCGGCCGGUUACGUCACAGCGCCGCGACUCGGCCUGUCCCGAUUCGAAGACUCCUUCAAAUGCGGUCGACGAAUGCGGCCUUCUUUUCGCCUGAAUGAAGGAUGGGUCGGGUGUAUCCUUCAAUAGGUAGCAUUUCCCAAGAUGCCUUGCGGGCCGGCCGGCCGAAAAACUUAAAAACAAUGGCGGACAGUGAAGCGGGAGCUGUCGGAGAGGAUUGCGCAUAUAAAUGUAAGUAUAAACUUGAAAACUGUCAGUUUAAGGACUUUUUGUGAUACAUGAACGUUAUUUUAGUUAGAAAUGUUACAGUAAAAGUGCUUGUAUUGCGGUCUCGGCUCGUAUGUUCGGCCGCGCUCGGUGUCGUACUUCUCCCACUACGUUUCCCCCUGAUUUUAAUAGAAGUUUGUAUUUUAGGACCAAAAGAGAAAACCAGGGAAUUUAUAAGCUUAGGGCGGAGAUGGACCACAUGAUCACCGGAGCAAAGUAUUCGGCGGCUGUGGCAUGGAGACUAUUCUGGAGAAAAUGGGCAUCCAGGGGAAGGUGCCAGCGAUGAGCUUCUGGAGCUGAUCUGGGAGGACAUGAGGCUGCAGAGCAGCAGAGAGCACAGGAGAGAAGGAAGAACUUUGACAGCUUUUUACUUUGCUAGAAAAAAAUGGUUAAUGAAGAUUAAACAUGUACAUGUAAAAGAAAUAUCUAAAUAAAAUCAGUUCUGCAUUAAA